GGGGAUAUGACUUGGUUGGUAGAGUGUUUGCCUUGCAUGCCCAAGGCCCUGGGUUCAAUCCCCAGCACCCCCC
rnacentral:tRNA from 1 species